UACGUAGGUGGCAAGCGUUGUCCGGAUUUAUUGGGUUUAAAGGGUGCGUAGGCGGUCUUUUAAGUCAGUGCUGAAAUAUCCCGGCUUAACCGGGAGGGUGGCAUUGAUACUGAAGGACUUGAGUUCAGUCGAGGUAGGCGGAAUUGACGGUGUAGCAGUGAAAUGCGUAGAUAUCGUAAGGAAGACCAGUGGCGAAGGCGGAUCUCUGGACAGUUACUGACACUGAGGCACGAAGGCCAGGGGAGCAAACGGG
rnacentral:rRNA from 1 species